AUACGUAGGGUGCAAGCGUUAAUCGGAAUUACUGGGCGUAAAGCGUGCGCAGGCGGUUUUGUAAGACAGAGGUGAAAUCCCCGGGCUCAACCUGGGAACUGCCUUUGUGACUGCAAGGCUAGAGUACGGCAGAGGGGGAUGGAAUUCCGCGGGUAGCAGUGUAAUGCGUAGAUAUGCGGAGGAACACCGAUGGCGAAGGCAAUCCCCUGGGCCUGUACUGACGCUCAUGCACGAAAGCGUGGGGAGCAAACAGGAUUAGAUACCCUGGUAGUCCACGCCCUAAACGAUGUCAACUGGUUGUUGGGUCUUCAUUGACUCAGUAACGAAGCUAACGCGUGAAGUUGACCGCCUGGGGAGUACGGCCGCAAGGUCGAAACUCAAAUGAAUUGACGGGG
rnacentral:rRNA from 1 species